CCUACGGGUGGCAGCAGUGGGGAAUAUUGGACAAUGGGGGCAACCCUGAUCCAGCCAUGCCGCGUGUGUGAAGAAGGCCCUCGGGUUGUAAAGCACUUUCAGUGAGGAAGAACGCCUGGUGGUUAAUACCCAUCAGGAAAGACAUCACUCACAGAAGAAGCACCGGCUAACUCCGUGCCAGCAGCCGCGGUAAUACGGAGGGUGCGAGCGUUAAUCGGAAUUACUGGGCGUAAAGCGCGCGUAGGUGGCUUGAUAAGCCGGUAGUGAAAGCCCCGGGCUCAACCUGGGAACGGCAUCCGGAACUGUCAAGCUAGAGUGCAGGAGAGGAAGGUAGAAUUCCCGGUGUAGCGGUGAAAUGCGUAGAGAUCGGGAGGAAUACCAGUGGCGAAGGCGGCCUUCUGGACUGACACUGACACUGAGGUGCGAAAGCGUGGGUAGCAAACAGGAUUAGAUACCCCGGUAGUC
rnacentral:rRNA from 1 species